rnacentral:rRNA from 1 species
AUAUCAAUAAGCGGAGGAAAAGAAACCAACAGGGAUUGCCUUAGUAACGGCGAGUGAAGCGGCAAAAGCUCAAAUUUGAAAUCUGGUUCCAAGUUUGGAGCCCGAGUUGUAAUUUGCAGAGGAAGCUUUGGGUGCAGCGGCGGUCUAAGUUCCUGGAACGGGGCAUCAUAGAGGGUGAGAAUCCCGUCUGGGACCGUCUAGUAGCGCCCGUGUAUAGCUCCUUCGACGAGUCGAGUUGUUUGGGAAUGCAGCUCUAAGUGGGUGGUAAAUUUCAUCUAAAGCUAAAUACCGGCCAGAGACCGAUAGCGCACAAGUA